UUAAAAUAGAGUUUAGGCUAAAUCAAAAGACAUGCAGUAAAAACAAAAGCAAGAAGUCUCAAUUUUCAAACAGUAAAACAUAUUUAAAUACCACAUCCUCCAGUUAAAAUAAAAUAAAAUGAAUAGAUAAUAACCCUAGCAAAUUACAGGUCUUCGAAAUCCUGAUUGUUCAAUUUCAUACACAACUGAAACGAAAGGCAGAAACUGAAUGCCAGUCCUGAUCAUGAUAAAAAUGCAGUCCUGAUUUUAUAUUAUCUCAAUGCCAGUACUCCACUGCUCUGCACAAGGACAAAAUGAAAGGCAGAAACUGAAAAUGUACCCUCACAUAAUGCAGUCCAUUCCAAAAUCUCAGCAGCCCAGCAACAGCAACAAAAUCUCAACAGUAACAAAAUCAUACAGUAUAACACAGGACCAGAUUGGGCCUGUUUGGUUCAUAAAUAUCUUUGUAUUAGAAAAUGAAAGAAAGUUAUACACUGGUAAUCCUUCUGCCAAAAAAUGACAGCUUUCCUUCACAGACAUGAAUUUCGGUUCAAAAGAUGGGCAAAAUAAUGGCAGCAGAAUUGUGGUUCGAAAGAUGGGCAAAAUCAUGGCAGCUGAAUUUAAUAUAAUUUUUUUUUCAUUCGCUGCCAUUUUUUCUUCAAAUCAGUACAAUUUAGACUUAGAACCAAACUGAAACAAAAUGGAAGCAGUGUUACCUCGUCUUCUUCAAAAUUAGAAGGAUCGGGGAUGCAAACCCUAGCUUCAAACCAGCAACUGAAAGGGGCUUUGAGAGAAUCAGGGAAAGGGGUUUUCAAAUAUUGAGAGAAUCAGAAUAUUGGGGAUGGAUGUGAGAGAAUCGGGGAUGGGUUUGAGAGAAGCCACACAGUCUCAAUUGGAAGGGAUGGAGAGAAGCGAAUUUUAAUUGGAGAGAAGCAAAUUUCACACCGGUCUCUUUUUUAUGACCCGUGUUUAUGCUUUUGACCCGUGUGUCCCUUUGGUCC
rnacentral:lncRNA from 1 species